rnacentral:lncRNA from 1 species
AGGUCCAGCAUACGAAGGACCAACUUCCCUAUCUUUUGGAUAAAUUUCUUCUUGUUCAUCUGCUUUUAUAAUACUUCCCCUCUUCCCCCCUUGCCCCUCAGAAUUGCUCUGCAAUGGGAUAUUACUUAGAAACUGUAUCAAGAAGUCAGCACUCCAUUGUUGCUUUUAAAUGCAAUAAUUAUUUAUGAAUAAAAUUACUAUACAUACAUAUAGUGGGCAUUAUAUAGCUCAAGAUUUUACAGAUGCUGAAGCAACUUCUUCCCAAGGAGCAGUAUAAAUUUAAAUUAUAUUCAAAUACAGAUAUCACCAAUUUGUAAAAACUUGAGGUGGGAAAAAAGGAAGUGAGGAUAUAUUGUCUGCCCUGUGUCUAGAGGGCAGUUGUUUUCUCCCCACUUACUAAGGAGAGAAGAGAAUAGAAAAGAAGUGCUUACCCAGAGCUGCCAUGGUUAUGUUAAUGCUUUUGGAAUUUUCCCAAAGAUUUUAACCAAAUAUUCAAUCCAUAACAAGUAUUCCCCAUGGCACCACUGAAGCAUGCUGCAGUUACACAUUAUAAAUGGAAGCCAAAUCACACACUUAUGUAAAAUGACUGGUAUAGCAGAAAAACAAGUUAUGUAUUUAAUAAGCAAUCUCAAGCUUGUAAUGUAGUGAAACCCACUUGUAAUUUCUUACAUAGCUUUUUUUUUUUUUCCCCUGCACACACCGUUCAUUUUUAAAGCUCUCUACAAGGCUUUUAUAAAAAUCAACUUAGCCGAUAUACCAUCACUCCAAUUUUUUUGCCCAUUGCUUUGAAAAACUGUACUCCCAUUCAGGAAUAUUAGUCAUAUCAAAAUGCAUGAAAUGUGGUUGUAUGGCAUUCCUUGAAGCAUGGUUUUUACUUAUGAAAUACGUAUAUUAAAGAAAAAAGCCUUCAGUACGUGCUUACACUCCAUAGAGGUAUGCUAUCUUUCUAACCUGUGGGAUACUUUUACACACAAAAGUCAUUCAUCUGUAUUUUGUCUACCAAAUUAAGGUUGUUACAGUUCAUCACACUGCCAUUACCCGUAAUUCUGAUUGCCUUAAUGAAGUAACAUAAUGGGCAUUUUUGCCAAUUAAACAUAAGGCUUUUGUUAAAAAUUAAAAUACUGGAUAUGGCAGUCAAUCCUGAAACAGAUUAACCUGAAAUUCUGCCAACAUAUUUAAGCUGUCCAUUCAAAGGUGAAACUAUCCAUUGCUGCUUUAGGCAGAUCUUUUACUAGCUGGGGCCCCUCUCCACUGAAUUCCUUCAUUAACUCCUAUGACAUUUUACGUUUCUUUGAUUAGAUAAUUAUCCACGUCCAUUCGAGCUAUUUUAGAUGUGUUUUCAUGAACCCAACUCCUUGGAACACAUUGUUGUCAAUCAGAUGGGGAAAAUGUUAUAUAAACAAUUAGUUUCCCCAUUGGACAAUGUUAUAAGAAAUUUUUCCCUAAUCAACUUGGAUUGGAAAGAAAACAAGUCAGUAUUUUGCCAGUGAGUGCAUAUUGGCUUAGGUUUUCAGUGUCUUUUAGAUUUAUUUUUAACCUUGGCUUUCUGUUUGAGCCAGAAAAGAUCAUCUUCUUCCAGAGGAUUUUUCUCCUCUUUUGCUGAUUAGCUAUAGAAUGAGAAGAAGCACCUGACGGGCCACACUAAGAAGGAUGCUAAGCGGUUUACAAGUCUCAGUAAUUAAUGACUAUUUUUAUCACAAAGAAUAUAGACUGGCUUCUUCCAUCUAUCUGAAACUCAGUGUAAGCCCCUAUAAGCCUCAAUGCAGUAUAAUUGGUGCAAUAGAGCUGAAAAUGAGAUGGAGGAUAUAAUGCAGCUUCAGUAAUCCUGCCUUUAGCUAAAAUGGAACAGUAGAAGCCCCUGGCAGCCUCCAGUGUGGUUGCCACUAAGAUUUAAAGCCAGCCAGCUGUCUAGUGUUCCUUGUGAAGCCCAUGUCACUGUUUAUGCCCUUAAAUAGAGUUCAAAUGUUUUAAAUAAUGAUAUCUGUGAGAAUGAUUUACUGUGGUAAACAAUUUGCUUCUCAGCCUUUUGGCUCUAAUUGGGUGUUUUCUCUGAUUAAGAAGCAAUCAUUGACUGUGUACUUAUAUUAGUUUUUAUUCUGACCACCCUGUGCUUAAAAUGUGCUCUCAAACCUCUUGGGAUGAACAAAUGGGUUUUGCUUUCUCAGUGCUGUUAUUAAAAAACCCACUCUCUUGUAAAGCAUAAUAUGCUAAUAAUAGGUCUGGGGACUCAAUUGGGAAAAUGAAAAAAGCUUCACAUCCAUGAAGGCAUGCUAAGUGAGACCACGAUAAGUGCUGGAUAAUGUGUUUGUUUUAGAUUUGUGACCAUCCCCUAUACAGCCUGGGGGGAUGGUCACAAAUCUAAAGCGAACAUAAUAUCAGGGCUGGAGAGCCCUGUGUUGUCCAGACCAGCCAUAAUCAUAAAUAAGCUUCUGGUAGUUUUCUACACUAUGACUGCAAAGAACAGUUAAAACAAAAACGCAGACAAAGGGAGGGGUGGAGGAUACCUUCUAGGAGAGUCCAAGACAAGCCAGGGCUAUUUUCAGCUCCCUCUUUGAAUAGCAUCUAAGCAUUUCACUCAUGUUCUUCUUCACAAUGCUGGCACCACUGACUGUAAAAAUAAAAAGAUGGGUUUCUUCAAAAGAAGGUUAUAUUUGGAGAUCCAUUAAGAGCAUCUUCCAUGAGGAUUAUAUAAUAGCUGAAUGCCACCUCUCUGUGGAUAGCAAAAAUCAGAAAGUUUCUCUAAAAGCAUCUCUUGAGUAUAUGCCAGGUAUUCAAAAUUCAUUGUAGAAACCACAUGGAAUUGGAUUCAUCAGGGAUGUGGUUAGAGUUAGCACAAUGAUACAGACGAAUCCAAUGGGAUAGAGAAAUAAGUUGUAGUUCAAAUAUUUUAAGAAUUACUAUAGAUGAUAAAAUUCUGUUAGGAUGAGAGCAUAAAAUACUACCUAUCCAUCGCCCCAUGACACAUAACAGUCCCCUGAAAGGCAUCGUCUACUAUCCAGUUCACUACUGCAGGAGUGCUUAGUAGGGGAACAGGUUUAUAAGGAAGUUGUGGAGAAAAGUCCAAGAAUAACUCCAACUGUUAAAUGAAAAACAGAAUGAAACAGAAGCAAAUUUUGUAUUUACUCAGUGUAAACAAAGCAUUCAUCAUAACAGAAUAGAUUGGGUAUAUUAUCUGUUAUUUUCUUUUAGCUAUUCCCACAAAGGUAUAGACUUUGGUGAUCUGAAGUGUACAGUUUCCUAUAGUAUGAGCACCUCGCAUUUUAUUCCACUUAAAUAUCAAGCUGAGUCAUGUUAAGAUUCCAAGUUAUAGCAUCUAGGCAAUAUUACAGUUGUUGUGUAGCAUAAUGAUCAAGAUUGCUGGACUCCAUAACUAGAUUGCCUGGGAGUGGUUCCUACUUCUGCCACUUUUCAGCUGUGUAACCUUGAGCAAGUUCUUCACUUAAUCUGUAAGAGGAGGAUAACAGAUUACCUGAAUAGAUUAUUGGGGUGAAUAAAAAAUUAAUACAUAGGAACAUAGUAUUAUUUAAUAAAUAAGCAAAUAGAAGCCAAAAUACGUACGUCAGUUUUCAAAGAUCACAUAUUUAGGAAAUACUAGGGCAGAAACAAGCAUCCUGUGAUUCUGCCAUGUACUCCACAUAGACCCCCACAGUGGCUCUAUAAAAGUACUGAUGCUUUUGGUGAGAAUGAUUCCAGUGAUGGGAAUACAAGUAAAUGUAGGAACAAAUAAUUAGGAGAGGAAGAUGCAACCCAGAUUCUGAAUACGUAAAAUAAAAGAUGAACAUAGAAGAGAUUAGAAGAUCAAAGGAAGGUGAUGAAAUGCUCCACAGCCGUGUUUGUCUGCCCAGGUGCUUGAUUGGAACUAUUAUGUAUUAGAUGAGCCACUUACACUAAAUAGAUGUGAACAAUUGGUUCAGGUGAACAACAUAAACUUAGAUUUAUAUUUAGUUUUUUCUUGCCUACACAUUUAUAAUACCUCUCCUGCAGAGCCCUGAAAAACUGCUAAUCCCUCUGUUUUAUCCAACCAGGGAAUACAAUCCUGCAAUAGGCUACUCAGUCUCCUUCACACACACCUGAAUUCCUUUUAAGAAGAUUUUCAGUAUAGAGAAGUGGGUAUUACAGUUGCCUUCUUCAUAAUUGUUAAAUUUCAUGAGCUCUACACACUAUCAAAAAGCUACUGGCUAUUCUGCGUAAGAAUGUGGAGAAAAUGGAACAUUAUACCUUAUAUUUGAUUUAUUGGUCCUUCCAAAAAAAUCACUUCCAUCAAACAUUGUCUGUGACAAAAAUAUCUCUCAUAGUUUAUAUUCUCCAAUGUCACAUGCAGUGCUUUGAAAAUAUUAAAUUUUUUGGUACUUCUGUAUCUGAUUUAAAAUGAUUUCCUCACUGGAUAACCUUGGCUACAUCUGACUCAAUAAUUCUUCACAUUUUCUAUAGGAUUAUCAUACUAUUACAUGGCCCUGUUGCUACAAUGCUAUUUCAUCAAAAUAAUAAUGCACUCCAGGUAAGAUUCCAGAUUAGACAUUUUUUAGGCAAGAGAAUAAAAUUAUUUUACCAACUCUAGGAUUGAAUAUUUUCAUAAAUUUGUUGUUAUUUGUGUUUAGAAUACCUAUAAACAAGGUUUCAUUUCACUGCUUCCUCUUCAGGCUCAUACUCUUUAUAAAGACAUUGUUGUGAAUUAUUCUGAUUACUGCAUAUUUAAAAUAAAUGGGUAGCUGUUAAUGAAAGCAGAUAUAUCUGAUUAAUAACAAAGAAUUUAAAAAAGUAAAUAAAAUAAAAUUACUCCCUAAUUGGUAUAGAUACACAAAUGCCUGAAAAGAAGGAAGUUGUCAGCUAUUAAAACAUUUAGAAGAAGGACCAAAUCUAUUGCCCAUAUUGUAGAGAAGAUUCUUGAAUUAAAUGAACGAUUAGAGGGAUCUUCUGUAAUUCUAUUAAUCCUAAAGCAACUCAGAGUAGAUCACCACAAGAAGUGGGUACAUUUUUCAAGAAGUCAUAAUUCUUAGUAUAUUCUCCAUUUGAUAUAACUUAUUGGAUUACUCUAUAAGGCAAUAGCCAUGGACUCUGUAUGACUAUAUGGUUGGCUCUGAAUGCCAGCUUUGACACUUAUUAGUUAUGCAGAAUUGGGCAAUUUACUUGACUUCUUGGAAACUUUUUUUAAAAUUGGUGAAAUGAGAUUAGUAAUACCUAUUACAUAAAGUUAAUAUAAGGAUUGAGAAAAAUAACCUUUUAAUAGUAAUACAAUUCUCAGCAUAGACUGAAGGCACAAUACAUAGGUCCUAUUAUAACAUAUAUAAAUCAGUAAAAACAGCCAUAUCACCAAGAAUGGUUUUAAAAGUUGUAAAAUGCAAUUGCGCCAAAGUUGUGCAUAAAAACAAUUCAUUUAUAAAAUGAUUGAACCAUUUUUAUCAGAUCAAGAUAUUCAUUCCUGUAUUUCAAUUAUAACUUCUUGAUCUGUUAAUAUUUCUUCGUUUAUAUCAUCCAACUCACUUAGCUUAACAUCCAUUGAAAUCACUUCAAAAUGAGUCAAGCAAUGUGUUUUUCUGGUUUGGAAGUUACUUUUUUCAAAAGCUGUAAACUCAGAGCCCAUUGCCUUGAUAGAGGAUCUGAAGAAAGUUGGGGACAGUGGACAGGGAGAAGUGUUCACAGGAAGGAACCUGUUUAGUGUUGAGUUCAGAAAUAAAUGUUGGAGUUCCCCUCACGGCUCAGUGGUUAACAAAUCCUACUAGGAACCAUGGAUUGCAGGUUUGAUCCCUGGCCUUGCUCAGUGGGUUGAGGAUCCAGCGUUGCCAUGAGCUAUGGUGUAGGUCUCAGACGAGGCUCAGAUCCUGUGUUGCUGUGGCUCUGGCAUAGGCUGGUGGCUACAGAUCCGAUUAGACCCCUAGCCUGGGAACUUCCAUAUGCCGCAGGAGUGGCCCUAGAAAAGGCAAAAAG